CAUGCAAGUCGAGCGGUAACAGACAUAAAGAUUCAGCUUGCUGAAUCCGGUGCUGACGAGCGGCGAACGGGUGAGUAACGCGUAGGAAUCUACCCAGUAGCGGGGGAUAGCCCGAGGAAACUCGGAUUAAUACCGCAUACGCCCUGAGGGGGAAAGGGGGCAGUUUACUGCUCUCACUAUUGGAUGAGCCUGCGUAAGAUUAGCUUGUUGGUAGGGUAAUGGCCUACCAAGGCGACGAUCUUUAGCUGGUCUGAGAGGACGAUCAGCCACAUUGGGACUGAGACACGGCCCAGACAUCUACGGAUGGCAGCAGUUAAGAAUAUUGGACAAUGGGGGCAACCCUGAUCCAGGUAUACCGCGUGUGUGAAGAAGGCCCUAGGGUUGUAAAGCACUUUAAUCAGAGAAGAAGCAUUUUAAGUUAAUACCUUAUUAUGUUGACGUUACCUGAAGAAUAAGGACCGGCUAACUCCGUGCCAGCAGCCGCGGUAAUACGGAGGGUCCAAGCGUUAAUCGGAAUUACUGGGCGUAAAGCGCGCGUAGGCGGUUUAGCAAGUUGUAUGUGAAAGCCCUGGGCUCAACCUAGGAACUGCAUCCAAAACUACUAAGCUAGAGUACGAGAGAGGAGAGUAGAAUUUCUGGUGUAGCGGUGAAAUGCGUAGAUAUCAGAAGGAAUACCAAUGGCGAAGGCAGCUCUCUGGCUCGUCACUGACGCUGAGGUGCGAAAGCGUGGGUAGCAAACAGGAUUAGAUACCCUGGUAGUCCACGCCGUAAACGAUGACAACUAGCCGUUGGGCAGAUUUAACUGUUCAGUGGCACAGCUAACGCAUUAAGUUGUCCGCCUGGG
rnacentral:rRNA from 1 species